rnacentral:rRNA from 2 species
UGACCUCAGAUCGGUCGGGACCAACCCGCUGAAUUUAA